rnacentral:rRNA from 1 species
AGAGUUUGAUCAUGGCUCAGAUUGAACGCUGGCGGCAGGCCUAACACAUGCAAGUCGAACGGUAACAGAAAGAAGCUUGCUUCUUUGCUGACGAGUGGCGGACGGGUGAGUAAUGUCUGGGAAACUGCCUGAUGGAGGGGGAUAACUACUGGAAACGGUAGCUAAUACCGCAUAACGUCGCAAGACCAAAGAGGGGGACCUUCGGGCCUCUUGCCAUCGGAUGUGCCCAGAUGGGAUUAGCUUGUUGGUGGGGUAACGGCUCACCAAGGCGACGAUCCCUAGCUGGUCUGAGAGGAUGACCAGCCACACUGGAACUGAGACACGGUCCAGACUCCUACGGGAGGCAGCAGUGGGGAAUAUUGCACAAUGGGCGCAAGCCUGAUGCAGCCAUGCCGCGUGUAUGAAGAAGGCCUUCGGGUUGUAAAGUACUUUCAGCGGGGAGGAAGGGAGUAAAGUUAAUACCUUUGCUCAUUGACGUUACCCGCAGAAGAAGCACCGGCUAACUCCGUGCCAGCAGCCGCGGUAAUACGGAGGGUGCAAGCGUUAAUCGGAAUUACUGGGCGUAAAGCGCACGCAGGCGGUUUGUUAAGUCAGAUGUGAAAUCCCCGGGCUCAACCUGGGAACUGCAUCUGAUACUGGCAAGCUUGAGUCUCGUAGAGGGGGGUAGAAUUCCAGGUGUAGCGGUGAAAUGCGUAGAGAUCUGGAGGAAUACCGGUGGCGAAGGCGGCCCCCUGGACGAAGACUGACGCUCAGGUGCGAAAGCGUGGGGAGCAAACAGGAUUAGAUACCCUGGUAGUCCACGCCGUAAACGAUGUCGACUUGGAGGUUGUGCCCUUGAGGCGUGGCUUCCGGAGCUAACGCGUUAAGUCGACCGCCUGGGGAGUACGGCCGCAAGGUUAAAACUCAAAUGAAUUGACGGGGGCCCGCACAAGCGGUGGAGCAUGUGGUUUAAUUCGAUGCAACGCGAAGAACCUUACCUGGUCUUGACAUCCACGGAAGUUUUCAGAGAUGAGAAUGUGCCUUCGGGAACCGUGAGACAGGUGCUGCAUGGCUGUCGUCAGCUCGUGUUGUGAAAUGUUGGGUUAAGUCCCGCAACGAGCGCAACCCUUAUCCUUUGUUGCCAGCGGUCCGGCCGGGAACUCAAAGGAGACUGCCAGUGAUAAACUGGAGGAAGUGGGGAUGACGUCAAGUCAUCAUGGCCCUUACGACCAGGGCUACACACGUGCUACAAUGGCGCAUACAAAGAGAAGCGACCUCGCGAGAGCAAGCGGACCUCAUAAAGUGCGUCGUAGUCCGGAUUGGAGUCUGCAACUCGACUCCAUGAAGUCGGAAUCGCUAGUAAUCGUGGAUCAGAAUGCCACGGUGAAUACGUUCCCGGGCCUUGUACACACCGCCCGUCACACCAUGGGAGUGGGUUGCAAAAGAAGUAGGUAGCUUAACCUUCGGGAGGGCGCUUACCACUUUGUGAUUCAUGACUGGGGUGAAGUCGUAACAAGGUAACCGUAGGGGAACCUGCGGUUGGAUCACCU